rnacentral:rRNA from 1 species
AUUGAACGCUGGCGGCAUGCUUUACACAUGCAAGUCGAACGGUAACAGGCCGCAAGGUGCUGACGAGUGGCGAACGGGUGAGUAAUGCAUCGGAACGUGCCCAGUCGUGGGGGAUAACUACUCGAAGGAGUAGCUAAUACCGCAUACGAUCUAUGGAUGAAAGCGGGGGACCGUAAGGCCUCGCGCGAUUGGAGCGGCCGAUGUCAGAUUAGGUAGUUGGUGGGGUAAAGGCUCACCAAGCCAACGAUCUGUAGCUGGUCUGAGAGGACGACCAGCCACACUGGGACUAAGACACGGCCCAGACUCCUACGGGAGGCAGCAGUGGGGAAUUUUGGACAAUGGGCGCAAGCCUGAUCCAGCAAUGCCGCGUGCAGGAAGAAGGCCUUCGGGUUGUAAACUGCUUUUGUACGGAACGAAACGGCUCUGGUUAAUACCCGGGGCUAAUGACGGUACCGUAAGAAUAAGCACCGGCUAACUACGUG